UACGGAGGGGGCUAGCGUUGUUCGGAAUUACUGGGCGUAAAGCGCACGUAGGCGGCUAUUCAAGUCAGAGGUGAAGGCCCGGGGCUCAACCCCGGAACUGCCUUUGAAACUAGAUAGCUAGAAUCUUGGAGAGGCGAGUGGAAUUCCGAGUGUAGAGGUGAAAUUCGUAGAUAUUCGGAAGAACACCAGUGGCGAGGGCGACUCGCUGGACAAGUAUUGACGCUGAGGUGCGAAAGCGUGGGGAGCAAACAGG
rnacentral:rRNA from 1 species